GACGAACGCUGGCGGCGUGCCUAAUACAUGCAAGUAGAACGCACAGUUUAUACCGUAGCUUGCUACACCAUAGACUGUGAGUUGCGAACGGGUGAGUAACGCGUAGGUAACCUGCCUGGUAGCGGGGGAUAACUAUUGGAAACGAUAGCUAAUACCGCAUAAUAUUGAUUAUUGCAUGAUAAUUGAUUGAAAGAUGCUAUUGCAUCACUACCAGAUGGACCUGCGUUGUAUUAGCUAGUAGGUGAGGUAACGGCUCACCUAGGCGACGAUACAUAGCCGACCUGAGAGGGUGAUCGGCCACACUGGGACUGAGACACGGCCCAGACUCCUACGGGAGGCAGCAGUAGGGCAUCUUCGGCAAUGGACGAAAGUCUGACCGAGCAACGCCGCGUGAGUGAAGAAGGUUUUCGGAUCGUAAAGCUCUGUUGUAAGAGAAGAACGGGUGUGAGAGUGGAAAGUUCACACUGUGACGGUAUCUUACCAGAAAGGGACGGCUAACUACGUG
rnacentral:rRNA from 1 species